UGUAGCAGAAAUAAGUUUGUAUGUAAUCCUAAAGAGUUGGGAUAUAGCAGGCUCACAAAAUCAAGAGAAGAAGUGCUAAUGAUGGCCACAAGAGAGUGCAGGCAUGAGUACGCCUUGGGCAAAAUAAGAUAUUUCAGGCCAAUGUGGGCCUUUGGUGAAAGUGCUCUUGUCCACUAUACAGAGAAAAAAGGUGAAAUACUUGUGAGUAGAUGUGGAGUGUUGAUGCUCCCAUAGGGAAAAGGAGAGACACUGAAGUUCUUCUAUGAAACGGUGACAUUACAGACCCCAUGGACAGAAGAUGUGAAUUUGAGAACAACUGGAGCAAAAGGUAUCAUUCUGAUGUCCCUCCUAGAGGAAGUUUUGAAUGUGAGACACAGUUAAGUGUUAAUUUUGUGACAUCUUUCAUCAAAAGUAGCAUGGUUCAGAAUCAUUCUUUGUCAAAUAGGUUAGCUGCUGAGGACCUUUUUGAGUGGAAGUGGAGUUUGAGACCUGGGUGCCAGAGAUGACUUCAGGAAUUGUAAUUGAUGGAAAAAGGAAGAUCUUGACGCCUUUAAGAAAGAGAAAACUUUGAGAUCUGAUUGUGCAAAGAAAAUUUUCAUCAAAGGAGCAAGAAAUUCUUCAUAACUUCAACACAACAUGGCCUUUGGGAACAGAAUAAAACACAAAUAAGGAAAGGCGGAAAAUGAUUGACACAUGCACUGUUCUUGGUUUGAAAUUUAACAAUCAUGCUAGUUAUAGGAUACAGCUUUGAAAUUCGAGUCAAUGAGAGGAUGAAAAAUACUGAGGAAGAGUAGGUAAAUUGAAUUCUUGCUACAUGAACAAAAACACUGGAUCUGAAGGUAAGGUACAUUUUAUAUAAUGACCCUCGUCUUCUGACACUAUUUAUU